AAUUUAUUAGUUUAAAAAAAAACAUUACAUUUUCAAUGUAAAAAUAAAUUUUAUUUAUAAAUUU
rnacentral:tRNA from 1 species